rnacentral:rRNA from 1 species
UACGAAGGCAGCAGUGGGGAAUAUUGCACAAUGGGCGCAAGCCUGAUGCAGCCAUGCCGCGUGUAUGAAAAAGGCCUUCGGGUUGUAAAGUACUUUCAGUCGUGAGGAAGGUGUUAAGGUUAAUAACCUUAGCAAUUGACGUUAGCGACAGAAGAAGCACCGGCUAACUCCGUGCCAGCAGCCGCGGUAAUACGGAGGUGCGAGCGUUAAUCGGAAUUACUGGGCGUAAAGGGCACGCAGGCGGUUAAUUAAGUUGGAUGUGAAAUCCCCGGGCUUAACCUGGGAAUGGCAUUCAAGACUGGUUAGCUAGAGUCUUGUAGAGGGGGUAGAAUUCCAUGUGUAGCGGUGAAAUGCGUAGAGAUGUGGAGGAAUACCGGUGGCGAAGGCGGCCCCUGGACAAAGACUGACGCUCAUGUGCGAAAGCGUGGGGAGCAAACAGGGAUUAGAUACC